UGCUCACCAGGCCAUCUCCCACCUGAAGAACACUUACUUUUUGUCUGAGGUCUGGGCCAUGAGCCUCUUCCGCAUUAUCUCUGCCAUUCAUCCCAUACACAAGGUACAGUUGAUCAGUAACUGGCCUGACAAAACAGUCACAGCAAAAUGAACUUUUUGUCCUCUGAUUAAUCAACUAGAAAUUGGUCUUGGCCUUUAGACUCCAUCUUCUAAAAAAAAAAGUUCCGUUUUGAUUUUCAACCAAACUUUCCUUUGUGUCUAGUUGCUGAUUCCUCAUUUCCUCUGGACUCUACAUUUCAACACUCAGGGCCGUGAGUUUCUGUUGGGACCUUCCGGGACGUUUGCAACGGUACGGCCCAUCCUUGCGGCCCUGUUGUUCGCUCUCAUUUUUCACACAUAAUUCCAGGUUCGUGUGAUAUAUAUUUCCGUGACUAGAGUGCCAUUGUAGUCGAUGGCACUCUUGAGCUAAUGGCCCGGGCGCAAGACUAGACACCUCGCUGUGCUUACCGGAUGACAUUGGCGCUCGAGGACUCGAGUCCAUCCCCGACUUCUACUACAGAGAUGACGGCCUUAAAAUCUGGAACAUCAUCCACAAAUUUGUGCAGGCUGUAGUCGGACACUACUAUCGUUCAAACAACGAGGUGGUCCAAGACUCAGAGCUGGAAGCGUGGAUCCAGGACAUCUUCACUUGCUACUUUUUAGGAAAGAAGUCUUCAGGGUGUCCCGAGGCCUUGAGGAGGUGGUCAAGUUCAUCACCUUGGUAAUCUUCAAGGUUUCGGCUCAGCAUGCUGCCGUCAAUAACGGACAGGAAAGUACAAUACAGCGCUGGGCCUUUCCUGCGACCAUGCUCAAGAGCAGAAAGUCUCCAUUCCGAAAAGGCAACGUUCAAGGUUCUUUGGUCAGCUUAUAUUCAGUUGCACAUGCCGGUGUGGGCCGAGUUUGAUGGGUGAUGAGUCUUUGGCGUAGGGCAAGUUCGCAGUAGAAUUUGAUUUCAUGGGAGUGGGUGCUGGUUCGGUGAGAGCUUGUUCCGUGGGGGUGGGUGCUGAUUAUGGGCUAUUCGGUGUGUGUGGGGGCUGUUGUCUUCCAUCCCGUCUUUCGGCCUUGGCGAUCAUCUUUGGCCGGGUUCUUGGCUGUCUCCCUCUGGCACCUGCUGGUUUUAAUAUUUCUUUUAUUGCUUUAAUAUGUGAAUAUACUUGUCUGCUUAUGUACUUUAUUCAAUGAGGUUUGAGCAUAUCUGUUUUUGUAGCUAGGCAGGACUUUUUGUAUUUUCGACCCCAUUCCUUCAACAGGGGUGUCAAACUCUGGUCCGCAAUGUACCGUAUUGGCCCGAAUAUAAGACGACCCAGAUUAUAAAACGACCCCGUCUUUUUCAAGACUCAAGUUUGAAGAAAGACUUUUUGAACACCAAAUUUAAUUUACAUACAGAAAAUGAUUACAUCUGAAUCAAAUGAUUAUAACAAUAAUUUCGAGAGAAAAAGCAAGUUAUUUUGCUUCAUUCAAAUCAUGCAAAGACUGUCUAUCACAUCUUAAUAUCUGAACAUUUAAAUAUGUAAACUAAAGUGCAAUCACAUUUGUAAAUGAAUGGCGUCUGGUUUUUGAAAUGCAAUAAAUAAAUAAAUAAACCAAUCUACUGUGAUAAAACAAUAAAAUUGC